UCUUUUUUGCCAGCCUGGUUUGAAGAUUGCACUUAAAUAUUGUAGGAUCAUUCCAUAUGUUUAUUUUAUAUUUUGCAACUGGUACAUUGCUUCUUUACGAAACAAAGCGCAGUAUCCGCCUUCCUUCGAAGGGGAGACGUAAAAGGGACAAAAUUAUUGUGAGAGCACCGAGUACUGCGAUAUGCGCAGGCGCCGACGCUGCGUCACCGCAGUUUUCCCCCACAUUGUAUGACAACCUGUAGCGCGCUCAGAUCCAGUUUAAUUUACGUGUUUACAAAGUGUUGUUGUUGCGGUUGAAAACUCGUACAGCAUAAUAAACAAAUGUUUUUUAUUCUACGUGGAUACAAGUGCUUCUUUUAGACAAAACGAAAUAGACCACUAAAAUUCACAGAAACACAGAAAAAAUAUGAUUUAUCUGUGAAUCCAAAUAUUUGUCUACGCUGGAAUGAACAAUAUGGAAAUGAGGAAAUCCGGUAUGACAGGCGUACCUCGUAUA